rnacentral:rRNA from 1 species
AGUCUGGUGCCAGCAGCCGCGGUAAUUCCAGCUCCAAUAGCGUAUAUUAAAGUUGUUGCAGUUAAAAAGCUCGUAGUUGAAUUUCGGGAUCAAUACGUCGGUCGUGCCUUCGGUACGNACUGGNGUCGUUGAUUNCUCCCUUNUGAUGAAACAUGAUGUCAUUAAUUUGAUGUUGUGGGGAGUCAGGACUGUUACUUUGAAAAAAUUAGAGUGUUUAAAGCAGGCAAACGCUUGAAUACAUUAGCAUGGAAUAAUGAAAUAGGACGUUCGAACCUAUUUUGUUGGUUUCUAGGUACAACGUAAUGAUUAAUAGGGAUAGUUGGGGGCAUUAGUAUUCAAUUGUCAGAGGUGAAAUUCUUGGAUUUAUUGAAGACUAACUACUGCGAAAGCAUUUGCCAAGGAUGUUUUCAUUAAUCAAGAACGAAAGUUAGGGGAUCGAAGACGAUCAGAUACCGUCGUAGUCUUAACCAUAAACUAUGCCGACUAGGGAUCGGAUGAAGUUAAUUUUUUAAUGACUCAUUCGGCGCCUUACGGGAAA